AUUACUUAAAUUGUAUAUACAAGAUGAUCCAAGUCAAUCAGAGUUCGGCACGUACGUAUUCCUCAUGAAAAAGUAAGUAAAAAAAUGUUGUGAUGUCAAUAGUUUUUAAAUGGUGAAUGUUUGAAAUUAUCCAACCAUAAAGCUUAAUGUUUUUGCUGUCAAGUGCGGCGCAACUAAGCGGCUGGCCUGCGCUUUGACGGAUACUACCAAAUGGUACGAUGCCGAACAAAUAUUGCAAAGGUUCUGUGAAAUCUCUAUUAACAUCUACUGCUGUAUUCUUAAACUGCGUUCAGUUUAAUUGACAAGAAGUAAUGUCAAUUGCAAAUUUGAUAAAACAUUAUUUAUAUAAGUAAACAUGUAUUUUUUAAAUACAUUUUGGGUAUAAACAAAUAAACCAAAUUUUGAGUAUAAGUUAAUAAAUAAAAAUCAUAUUAAUUAAAUUAUCUGAUCAAAUAAUAAUAAAACUAUCAGUCAACAAACAUUUCUGAAAUAUAUUUAAAAAGAAAAACAAAAUACAAAGAAAAGAACAGCCAAUUUUCGAGUUAAUUUAGGGGUAACGCCAUUAGAAUUUUCAAAAAAUCGAUUUUUUUGCUUAAGUGAUGUUUUAAGAUCUUAAAAAUAAGGUACAAAAGGUCUAAAAGCGAAGAAAGAUCCCUAAGUGUCAUUUUUGGAAAUUUAAAGCAUCUUACUUUUUGGUAAAAUUUGAAGCGUUUGCAAAGGGAUUCUUUUGAGAAUAAUAAAAGGAUUAGUUACUUACAGUGAAGCUUAAGUAAGGUUUUUUUUAGUUUUCUAGUGAAUGUAUAGAAGAAAAAGGAAUGCAUUGACCAUGUUCAAAAAUGAAUGGGUAUCUCGCAACUUGAAGAAAUCCGCGAAAGGAUUUGGAGGAAAAAGCAAAUUGAUUGGGAAAUUUAUAGAUGAAUUGUUACUUUUUUUACGGAUUAACUAUCCGUCGUAAUUGUGAAUUAAUAGAAAAUAUGAGACGAGAGAUCUGGGCGACCCUUUAUCAUAAGUUAUCCACAGUCGAAAAGCCACAGCACGAGAAAUGCCCGCCCAGUAAAGAUUUGUGGUGCAAGUGGCAGGCGAAAACCACUUAUAAAAUGGCUGAAUUUAAGCAUAAGCCAGCUUUUCUUCAAAUGGUUUUUGAUGCUAUUUAGUCAAUCUAUAAAGAAUUAAGUAGUGACGAUCUUCUUCAACGUUGCUUAGAUGGCUACACGCAAAACAGUAACAAAAGUUUUAACGCUUUGAUUUGGUCAAUGGCUCCAAAAACAGUUUCCAGCGGUAAAAUUAUUCUGGAUACUGCAUGUAAUAUUGUUGUUUGCAUAUACAAUGAUGGCUACUCAAAUAUCAUAAAAAUCAUGGAAGAGUUAAGCAUGUCAAUUGGACCGAACUGUUAUAAUUACUGCCUCGAGACUGACGCGCGGUGCAUCAAAUAUUCGGAGCGCUUGCUGACAAAUGCUGCAAAAGAGGCUUGAUCGUCUUUAAAAUUGGUCAAGAAGGAUGAAGAGGAGGAGAAUAUCAAUAAGGAAGGCCAAUUGGUAUGGUGCAAGUAUUGUAGAUUAAAGCAAAAAUUGGAGAUUUUGGUACGACAGUGAGGCACCUUUUGAAAGAAGUCAUCGUUGCCAAACUUUAUUACCGCUAUUUUGGAAUAAAAAUAUACAACAAAAAUUUUUUUAUACUUAAAAGUAUGUAGAAUAAGGUACUUAAAACGUAUUUUGCAUUACUGUUUUUGUUUUCCUGUAAAAAAUGCAAACUGCCUUCUCGCCACUCCGCGGAUCGGUCAUCAACCACAAGCGCCUGGCCGAACAUCCGCCAGGUGUAGAAAAAGCGCUGCGCGCCCAUAACAUAAUUUAAACGCGCCUAUGCGAGCGACGAGGCAUCUACGCGUCGAGUAUCUCGACGAACACGCGCGCCGAUUUGAACUGGCACGCGCUAUCGGCGUGCUCGCUCGCCUCCGUUCGCUUUCCGAGCGACCAAUCUCGAGCGGCUGGGAUGCUGACACCGAAACGAACCGAAUCGCCCCGAUACCGAACAUCCCCGACGUCUUGAGAUUUGGGUAUAAAAGAGCCAGAGCAGCGAGAUGCUGCGCUUUUUUUCCGCCGACUAGUCUCUGAAGAAGUCUCCCGAGGUAGUCUGAGGUCAAGCGUCUUGGCCUCUGUCGAGUGUUCUUGGCGGCUACCGCUCUUGCACCCGUCUCUCCUCACUGAAGUUGGGCUCAAGCGUGCUUGGGCUCUGGCAAGAGUUCUUGCCUGACCGGCAUCCUAAUACCGAUCUGAUCCCGUCGCAGUGGCUAAAGACAAACGGGGUAAAGCGUCUUUGCUUUCGUCGAGCGUACUCGAUAGCCGCUGCAUCCCAUCUGCAGAUAGUAACGCGCCGCAGAUUUGUCUGAUUUAAAGAGACGUUCAGCUGGGCGUCACUCCGCGUCCCGCCGCCGCGCCGGCGACCGUGAAAUCCGACGCGAUCUAGUUUUGGGAAAGUACGAACAGAAAAAGCGGACCGCUCGCCGAGCCGAACAACAGCUCACGUCGAAGACCCGCACCGUUGGAAAGCUACGCGCACCGAGUCAGGUGCAUUACCUAUUUUUUCGGCCUACGAAUUAAACCGUUAAUUUGCCGUAUGUCGAUCGCCACCGGUGGAUUAUACGGCCGACAACGUGAAUUUACCGGUGACACGUUUACGUUUAUCUUGUAAAUACUUUAUAUUACGCUAUUACGAAUUACUUUGUCUAUUUUUUAUAUUUUGUAUUCAUUUCUCUAAGUCGAUUGCUAAAUAAACUUGUACAUAUUUUAUACAUUCAAA